UAACAGAUCCAGCUUGCUGGAUGCUGACGAGCGGCGGACGGGUGAGUAAUGCAUAGGAAUCUGCCCGAUAGUGGGGGAUAACCUGGGGAAGCCCAGGCUAAUACCGCAUACGUCCUACGGGAGAAAGGGGGCUCCGGCUCCCGCUAUGGGAUGAGCCUAUGUCGGAUUAGCUAGUUGGUGAGGUAAUGGCUCACCAAGGCAACGAUCCGUAGCUGGUCUGAGAGGAUGAUCAGCCACAUCGGGACUGAGACACGGCCCGAACUCCUACGGGAGGCAGCAGUGGGGAAUAUUGGACAAUGGGCGAAAGCCUGAUCCAGCCAUGCCGCGUGUGUGAAGAAGGCCCUCGGGUUGUAAAGCACUUUCAGCGAGGAAGAACGCCUAGCGGUUAAUACCCGCUAGGAAAGACAUCACUCGCAGAAGAAGCACCGGCUAACUCCGUGCCAGCAGCCGCGGUAAUACGGAGGGUGCAAGCGUUAAUCGGAAUUACUGGGCGUAAAGCGCGCGUAGGUGGCUUGAUAAGCCGGUUGUGAAAGCCCCGGGCUCAACCUGGGAACGGCAUCCGGAACUGUCAAGCUAGAGUGCAGGAGAGGAAGGUAGAAUUCCCGGUGUAGCGGUGAAAUGCGUAGAGAUCGGGAGGAAUACCAGUGGCGAAGGCGGCCUUCUGGACUGACACUGACACUGAGGUGCGAAAGCGUGGGUAGCAAACAGGAUUAGAUACCCUGGUAGUCCACGCCGUAAACGAUGUCGACCAGCCGUUGGGUGCCUAGCGCACUUUGUGGCGAAGUUAACGCGAUAAGUCGACCGCCUGGGGAGUACGGCCGCAAGGUUAAAACUCAAAUGAAUUGACGGGGGCCCGCACAAGCGGUGGAGUAUGUGGUUUAAUUCGAUGCAACGCGAAAACCUUACCAGGGUUUGACAUCCUGCGAAUCUCUGAACGAGAGAGUGCCCUCGGGACGCAGUGACAGUGUGCAUGCUGUCGUCAGCUCGUGUCGUGAGAUGUGGUAGUCCCGCACGAGCGCACCACGUCUUUAGUGCAGCAUUAGUGGCACUCUAGAGAGACGCCGUGAUAACCGGAGGAGGUGUGGAUGACGUCAGUCAUCAUGCCCUUAAUCUGGGCUACAACGUACUACAUGCUCCGGACAAAAAAAAAAAGUUCGCGAGGCAGGCAUCUUCUACCCGUGGGUCACUUCUAAUUUAAGCGUGCACCUCCUCAUCUUAAAAGAAAUCUUUUUUAUUUCCAGGGUCAACAAACUGGGGGGAGGAAAAAUUAUCCGGCGGCGCUGUGGG
rnacentral:rRNA from 1 species